AGGUCGUUUACAUACGAAGGAAAAUAAAACAGGACAGGCUUCACCAUGUGCUGAUUCCCCAGUACAGCCAUGAUCCCAGUGAAUAUGACCAACACAGUGAGGAAGACUGGGGGCAUGAAGAUCGAGACGAAGACGAGGAAGAGAUGGAGCCUCUCUAUAUGGAGGGAAAGCUGUCCUUCAACCAGGCACGUGCACAGAUUGGGCUCUAGGGGUGCUGGAGGACCUGGCCUGAGG